rnacentral:tRNA from 1 species
UCCCUGGUAGCUCAGAGGGUAAAGCGUCUGCCUACAAUGCAGGAGACCAGGUUUGAUCCCUGGGUAGGGAA